rnacentral:rRNA from 1 species
GAUGAACGCUGGCGGCGUGCCUAAUACAUGCAAGUCGAGCGAACAGACGAGGAGCUUGCUCCUCUGACGUUAGCGGCGGACGGGUGAGUAACACGUGGAUAACCUACCUAUAAGACUGGGAUAACUUCGGGAAACCGGAGCUAAUACCGGAUAAUAUAUUGAACCGCAUGGUUCAAUAGUGAAAGACGGUUUUGCUGUCACUUAUAGCUGGAUCCGCGCCGCAUUAGCUAGUUGGUAAGGUAACGGCUUACCAAGGCAACGAUGCGUAGCCGACCUGAGAGGGGGAUCGGCCACACUGGAACUGAGACACGGUCCAGACUCCUACGGGAGGCAGCAGUAGGGAAUCUUCCGCAAUGGGCGAAAGCUUGACGGAGCAACGCCGCGUGAGUGAUGAAGGUCUUCGGAUCGUAAAACUCUGUUAUUAGGGAAGAACAAAUGUGUAAGUAACUAUGCACGUCUUGACGGUACCUAAUCAGAAAGCCACGGCUAACUACGUG